UAGCAGCAGCCUGAAAAACAGUCCGGUAAAUGUUGACACACAAACUUUUUUGAGAUUCCAUGAAAUUGUGUUUCAUUUGUAAUCGGCAUCCGUCAUCUCUCAGGAGGAGGAUGUGGAACUCCUUUUGGACGUUUAGAAAAAUGGUCACAAACCCUCCCGUCAUUCAAAAAACACUUUUGGGAGAAACUUAAAACCUGCCAACAUAACGGAAAAAAAAAAACAAAACUUGUCUUUGUAUACACAGUGUGCGAUCAGCCGGCCGGACCAGAACAUUCAGUUCCCAGUCCGGUCACAUUGCUAAGACAUCCUGUUGGUUCUCACUCAGAUCUGAGAGAUCUUGUUGUCAAUGGAGCUGCAGGCACAGCAAAGCAGUUGGCUUCCAGUCAUGUUUGUUACCUCACGAGAUUAAUUUGCUCAGAAGCGAUUGGGGGCUUUGGACUUGGACAAAUACAUCCAAACAUGGUCGUUUCAGUCAAAGACGUUUUCUGACUGAAGACAUCAGUCAGUAGUGAGCCUUGCACUGUGAGUAAGUAUUUGUUUGUCGAGCCAGUGUGUGUGUGUGUGUGUGUGUGUGUCUAUUGUGAGCGUCCUUCCAUGUGGUAAGGGCACAUUGGCUUUUUAGAGUCCUCAAUGUCAGACUGACAUUCUCUUUUCCAAUGUUUUCCCUCACCAUCCCUUGUUACUUUCCUCCCUGUGGUCCCUAAUUUCACCACGUCUCUGCAAUUAUUUCCCUCUUUCCUCUCACUACAGCUUUGUUUUUUUUUUGUUUUUUUUUUUAAACUCGUUCGUUUCUUUCAUUGCGGCUUGUUCACCUUCCCUGCAGGGAUAGGGGAGCCAACAAGGCCCUCCUCACAGCAGCAAUGAUAAUUGCUUUCUGGUCACUGUGACAUGACAGGGUUCUUGAGGAAGCCUGAAGCUUAUGUGCUCACACUGACUGGUAUUUGGAACUGUUCAUAAUUCCCUCCAGCUUGACUAUAACCCCAGUUCCAGCUGAAGAAAAACAGCCCUAAAUCGUGGCCUUUUGUUUCCACCUGCGCUUGUCAACCUGCUGCCCUGUGUCAUCCAAUCAGCUCCCUCGGCCGCUCGUGACUUGUCAAGGUGUUCCUCGUUGUGUCGUCAAUUGGCUUGUAUUCAGUUUCCUCAUGUCUUUCGGUCUUUGUAGCUGUCACAUUGUUUGGUUACUUCUCAUGGUGUGUUUUGUUUCCUGGUCAUGUUUUUAUUUAAAAAUUGACUUGUUCAGUAGACUCUGUA